rnacentral:snRNA from 1 species
CGCGGGUUAAAAUCUAGUUUAUG